rnacentral:rRNA from 1 species
UACGAAGGGGGCUAGCGUUGCUCGGAAUCACUGGGCGUAAAGCGCACGUAGGCGGAUUGUUAAGUCAGGGGUGAAAUCCUGGAGCUCAACUCCAGAACUGCCUUUGAUACUGGCGAUCUUGAGUCCGGGAGAGGUGAGUGGAACUGCGAGUGUAGAGGUGAAAUUCGUAGAUAUUCGCAAGAACACCAGUGGCGAAGGCGGCUCACUGGCCCGAUACUGACGCUGAGGCACGAAAGCGUGGGAGCAAACAGGG